UACGUAGGGGGCUAGCGUUGUCCGGAAUCAUUGGGCGUAAAGAGCGCGUAGGCGGCCAGAUAAGUCCGGUGUGAAAGUCACAGGCUCAACCUGUGAAUGCCGCUGGAAACUGUCUGGCUAGAGUCCGGAAGGGGCGAGUGGAAUUCCUGGUGUAGCGGUGAAAUGCGCAGAUAUCGGGAGGAACACCAGUAGCGAAGGCGGCUCGCUGGGCCACACCUGACGCUGAGACGCGAAAGCUAGGGGAGCGAACAGG
rnacentral:rRNA from 1 species